rnacentral:rRNA from 1 species
CACAGGUGCUGCAUGGCUGUCGUCAGCUCGUGUCGUGAGAUGUUGGGUUAAGUCCCGCAACGAGCGCAACCCUCGUCCUUAGUUGCCAUCAUUCAGUUGGGCACUCUAAGGAGACUGCCGGUGAUAAGCCGGAGGAAGGUGGGGAUGACGUCAAGUCCUCAUGGCCCUUACGGGCUGGGCUACACACGUGCUACAAUGGUGGUGACAGUGGGAUGCAAAGGGGCGACCCCUCGCAAAUCUCCAAAAGCCAUCUCAGUUCGGAUUGCACUCUGCAACUCGAGUGCAUGAAGGUGGAAUCGCUAGUAAUCGUGGAUCAGCAUGCCACGGUGAAUACGUUCCCGGCGC